rnacentral:rRNA from 1 species
AGACCCGAAACCCGGUGAUCUAGCCAUGGGCAGGUUGAAGGUUGGGUAACACUAACUGGAGGACCGAACCGACUAAUGUUGAAAAAUUAGCGGAUGACCUGUGGCUGGGGGUGAAAGGCCAAUCAAACCGGGAGAUAGCUGGUUCUCCCCGAAAGCUAUUUAGGUAGCGCCUCGUGAAUUCAUCUCCGGGGGUAGAGCACUGUUUCGGCUAGGGGGCCAUCCCGGCUUACCAACCCGAUGCAAACUGCGAAUACCGGAGAAUGUUAUCACGGGAGACACACGGCGGGUGCUAACGUCCGUCGUGAAGAGGGAAACAACCCAGACCGCCAGCUAAGGUCCCAAAGUCAUGGUUAAGUGGGAAACGAUGUGGGAAGGCCCAGACAGCCAGGAUGUUGGCUUAGAAGCAGCCAUCAUUUAAAGAAAGCGUAAUAGCUCACUGGUCGAGUCGGCCUGCGCGGAAGAUGUAACGGGGCUAAACCAUGCACCGAAGCUGCGGCAGCGAACGUAUCACCCAAGACAACUUUACGGAGUUGACGAUUGACGGAGCGAAGCGACGUCAAAGCGUUCAUUAAAGUCGAGUUGGCUUAGGGAUACGUUCGUUGGGUAGGGGAGCGUUCUGUAAGCCUGUGAAGGUGUGUCGUGAGGCAUGCUGGAGGUAUCAGAAGUGCGAAUGCUGACAUAAGUAACGAUAAAGCGGGUGAAAAGCCCGCUCGCCGGAAGACCAAGGGUUCCUGUCCAACGUUAAUCGGGGCAGGGUGAGUCGACCCCUAAGGCGAGGCCGAAAGGCGUAGUCGAUGGGAAACGGGUUAAUAUUCCCGUACUUGGUGUUACUGCGAAGGGGGGACGGAGAAGGCUAUGUUGGCCGGGCGACGGUUGUCCCGGUUUAAGCGUGUAGGUGUGUGUUCCAGGUAAAUCCGGUUCACUUUAACACUGAGGCGUGACGACGAGGCACUACGGUGCUGAAGCAACAAAUGCCCUGCUUCCAGGAAAAGCCUCUAAGCAUCAGGUAACACGAAAUCGUACCCCAAACCGACACAGGUGGUCAGGUAGAGAAUACCAAGGCGCUUGAGAGAACUCGGGUGAAGGAACUAGGCAAAAUGGUGCCGUAACUUCGGGAGAAGGCACGCUGACACGUAGGUGAAGUGAUUUACUCAUGGAGCUGAAGUCAGUCGAAGAUACCAGCUGGCUGCAACUGUUUAUUAAAAACAC